UACGGAGGAUGCGAGCGUUAUCCGGAUUUAUUGGGUUUAAAGGGUGCGUAGGCGGACUGUCAAGUCAGCGGUAAAAUACGGGGGCUCAACCUCCGCCCGCCGUUGAAACUGACGGUCUUGAGUGGGCGAGAAGUAUGCGGAAUGCGUGGUGUAGCGGUGAAAUGCAUAGAUAUCACGCAGAACUCCGAUUGCGAAGGCAGCAUACCGGCGCCCAACUGACGCUGAAGCACGAAAGCGGGGGUAUCGAACAGG
rnacentral:rRNA from 1 species